UGAAACAUGAACAUCAGUUUUAUAUCAUUAGUAUUUAUAUUCAGAGUUGAGCAAGUGUCUAUCUAUAUAGACACUUGUUAAACCCAAGAUCCUUCUACAUUUAGUAUUAAAUUACUGCUAUAGAAUAUAGCCCCAAAUGUGAUUUGGGGAUGCCAAGCUCUGGCACUGUUCAGUUACCAUUUGUCUAAUCUGGAACAGCCAAGGUUGUUCCCUGAGUCUGGUUAAAUCACAGGAAAACAUCCUAAAUUAUGCCUGAUCUGCAUGGCUUGGGUUCCUGGUGGUGUCGGUAGAUGAAGGUCCCACUGACCCCCUUGCCCUUCGAGUCACCAUCACUGGCCAGCAGCAUUGCCUUUCUUCUAGACACCGAACUUAGGAGUAUGACCAUCCGUCCGUGCCAAGUUCUUCGAAUAUUCAGAGCAAAUCAGUCUUCUGGACUUCCAAACCCCAUUUUUCUCAGAACUUGAGUUGUGAAGUUUUUAAAGUUUCAUUUAAAAUGCAUUCACCUGUCAAGGCUCACUUAAAGGACAUGUCUUUCCCUACCACUACCUCUCCUUGUCACUCUUUAGAAAGCGUCACCCUUCCAUGCUCCCGACUCCUCAAGAGGGAGUUGUAUGCCUCUACCCUUUUGCCCAGAGCACAUUGCACAGCCUGGACUUUCACAGUGACACCAACCCACAUCCAACCUUAAUCCAAAAAUAGAUUCAACAGGAACAUCCCGAGACUUCUGGCUACCGGGACAUCCAAGAGUCAUGCCUUCUACGCCCACCGCAUACUGAAUGCAGCCAGGUGACCAAAGGUGACUGUGAAGUCUGCACCCUGACUAGGGAAGCAAGGGAUCUGGCUUAGGAAGAUCUUGGAAAAGCAAGGAAGAAUGGAACAAAGGACCUCAGACCUGGCUCCAUGGUGAGGGAAGAAAUGUCCUCGGCGCAACAGCAAGAGUCCGAGAGAGGACAGGUGCAGGGUAUUCAUGCUCUAGAUGGAGGGGAAGCCCACAGGAGGACAUGGAUACGUGGUCCAUUGGCUAAGAGCCAAGGUCUGGCAGGGGUCAGCAGGGCUGUGUUCCAACCAGUGCAUACAAGCCGAGCACAUCUGUGAGGGAGCACUGACAGGGACCAGGCUCCUAGUCUUGAGCUGACCAUGCAGCAUACCUGAAUGAAUCUUGGUUUCCUUAUGCAGAAAUAAGAAAAAUCCAUUUCCUACUGGGCCGAUGGCAGCAUUGCCGCGAUUCACACGUUCCAACCCCAGUUCUUCAGAGUUACAGAGCUGGCUAGAUUCAGCGUGUGCUACCUCUACAGCCUCCAGGGACUCUUCCAUCAUAUCUGUCAUGUUUCCUUAUAAUGUAGGGACAUUGAAGGUACCUGUGUCACAAGUUUAAGGUAUUUAGAUUCAUGUCUGGCCCCUCCAGCACUUAAUGCCAUCUUGACAUUCUUCAGGGAGGGUUAGAAAAGGUAAUAGAAUUUCAGGAUGAGACACAUCUGGGUAUUGUUAUCACCCCCUUGAAAAAUCAUCUCCCUGCAAUAGACUUAAUUAUAAACUAAGAUCUCCAUGUUAUCUAUGAACUGACUUUUUAUGUUCCUAAAAUUCAUGUGUAGAAAUAUUUAUCCCCCCCAAGCAAUAGCGUUAGGAGCUUGACCUUUGGUCAAUGAUAAAGUCAUGAGGGUAGAGACUCAUGAUGGGAUUAGUGACCUUCCAAAAGAGACUCCAAGCAGAAGGCACCAUCCAGGGACCUCCUUUAAUGGGCACUGAGAGCCACACCUUGACUGUGGACAUCAGCCUCCAGAAGUACGAGGGAUAAAUGCCAGUUGUUUGUAAGCGGCUGGUUGUCAUGACAGCAUGAAUGGACCAGGUGGUGAUUAUGAUGUCUGGUUUCUCUAACUGGAGAGAGAGCUAGGGAGUCAGCAUCAGCCCGGCGCAUGUACUCCCUUGCCCUGUGCACCCAGGAUCUCAGAAGGGAACUCGAGUCCUAAUGCACAGUGAGUGUUGCACCAAAAGGCUGCAGGAGGUCAGUGAGUGCCAGUGCAAAGAGUUCCACAUGGUGCACAGGGAUGAAGGUGGGUUGCGACUGUCAACAGCACACUAUGGCCAGCUCUGUUAUUACUUUACUUCUCAAAUGAAGCAUUGAUUGAUCCAAAACAGAUAAAGACUACACUGCCAGCUCUUUGAAAAUAACUAGCUCUGAUGCUGUGAUGCGAAUCUUCAAUGAUAAAAGUCAUCUCCCAUGGGAUAUAGAUGUAGUAUUCACUGUUCCUAGAUACGUUUGGUGCUUCUGUGUCCUGCCUGCUCCUAUGGCAAGAGGGCUCUAGGAAUAACACAGGCUGUGGUCCAGAAAAUUCAAGUCACCCAGUAAGCAUCCACAAAUGAAACAAUGAGCUACCGUAUGGGGAGACUGAGGACAAAGCAGAUGCUUAGAAAUGCUUAGUGAACCUUGACUUCUGGGCCAAGAUAUUGACUCUACACACAAUGAAACUGCCCAUCCUUAACGUAGCUGAGAGACCCUGUUGUUAGGACCAGUUCAGCAACCACCAGCAAGCAAAGAGAGGACAGAAAUGUUGCUGGAUUUAUGAUUCUCUUCGGAAAUCCAAGAAGGCAUGAUGGACACAUGGGACAAGGGAUAUGUCUGGUGAGAAAUCCCCUCUGGUAGAACACUGAGCAGAUGGUGAGUCUAGGUGCAGUGACCGGAUGCACUCGGUGGACGGUCUGUCCUCACUCACUGACUGACUCUUCCAGGAGGACAGACACGUGUCCCUGAGUUUUGUGCAGACAGCCUCUCUCGCCUAAAGACUCUCGGUGCUGAAGAGGGCAGAUGGUCUCAUCCCAAAAUCUCCCUUGAACAUACCUGGUCAAAAGGCCAUCAAAAGCGAUUACAAUCUCCCCUACCGGAGUCAUCCUUCACCAGAAAUGUCACUUGUAGAAAACACUCAUCCCAUG